rfam:Salmo salar isolate Sally breed double haploid chromosome ssa23, whole genome shotgun sequence.
UGCAUUCACUACUGUAAGUCGCUCUGGAUAGGAGCGUCUGCUAAAAUGACUAAAA